UUGCAUGCAAUCCUAAGGAACAAGCUUGUGUGUAGCUUGUGCCCUCCAAGUGCAUGCUAGAACAUGCGAGGCAGUCUUUGACUGUUCUGACGUUACCAUGGCAGCAGCAGCCACUCAGCUGUCCCACAUAU
ensembl:snoRNA